GACGAACGCUGGCGGCGUGCUUAACACAUGCAAGUCGAACGGAAAGGCCCUGCUUUUGUGGGGUGCUCGAGUGGCGAACGGGUGAGUAACACGUGAGUAACCUGCCCUUGACUUUGGGAUAACUUCAGGAAACUGGGGCUAAUACCGGAUAGGAGCUCCUGCUGCAUGGUGGGGGUUGGAAAGUUUCGGCGGUUGGGGAUGGACUCGCGGCUUAUCAGCUUGUUGGUGGGGUAGUGGCUUACCAAGGCUUUGACGGGUAGCCGGCCUGGGAGGGUGACCGGCCACAUUAGGACUGAGAUACGGCCCAGACUCCUACGGGAGGCAGCAGUGGGGAAUAUUGCACAAUGGGCGGAAGCCUGAUGCAGCAACGCCGCGUGCGGGAUGACGGCCUUCGGGUUGUAAACCGCUUUCGCCUGUGACGAAGCGUGAGUGAGGGUAAUGGGGAAAGAAGCACCGGCUAACUACGU
rnacentral:rRNA from 1 species